rnacentral:lncRNA from 1 species
AAAGAUGAGGCUAUUAUGGGCUACUUUGCUAUGAAGCUACUACAAGCCUGCCUGGAGUAUGGAUUAUCUGCAGGUUUGCUUCUUGAUCCGAAUCAUAGCUUCUAUAAUGAAUCACAGACACACCUCUUGUCUGGUUUUGCAAGGGCUUUAAGGAAUGCAUCAUGAACCAGAAGAGUGGCUGACCCCAUCCCAGUACUUCUCAAUCCGCCACUCCCACACCGACUGCAUCUCUGGG